CCCUAUUAUUAGGGUCAAAAAUUAGUUUGGGAGUAGGUUAAAUAUUGAAAACUAUCCAGAAUGGCGGUUUUUUUUAUUUUCAGAAAAAUGUGUUUUUAAAACGAAAUUACACGAAAAUCUUUCUUACCUUGGAAACCCAUCCUGUACACCGCCGUCUGAAGGGUCAAUUAAAAGAAUUAGCCCGUAAUUUCAUAACAAAAAUAAGUCAGGUUAGGUGCAGACAAUAGGUAGGGCAAAAUGCAUUUCACUAGAAAUACGAAUAAGUGGUUGAAAUACCUCGUUGAAGAAGAAUUUGAAAGUAAGAAUUUUUUUAUCAUAAAAACCUGAAAUAAUACCGAAAAAAUGUACACA
rnacentral:rRNA from 1 species